rnacentral:rRNA from 1 species
UACGGAGGGUGCAAACGUUGCUCGGAAUCAUUGGGCGUAAAGCGCACGUAGGCGGUCCAGCAAGUCGGGUGUGAAAGCCCUCGGCUUAACCGAGGAAGUGCAUUCGAAACUACUGGACUUGAAUACUGGAGAGGAUCGCGGAAUUCCCGGUGUAGAGGUGAAAUUCGUAGAUAUUGGGAAGAACACCGGUGGCGAAGGCGGCUCACUGGCUCAUUUCUGACGCUCAGGCGCGACAGCGUGGGGAUCAAACAGG